GACUAAGAUACUUGAGUGAAAUUCACUAAUCUGUUUUUGCCAAAGAGCAGACCCGCUCUUCCCAUAUGGACCACAGGGCUCCAGCUCUCUAGUAUCCUCUGGCUAUUUUCUUAAUAAUAAUUUAUUAUAUAGUUUAAAAGAUAAGAAUUUUAACAUUCCCAACACAGCAAAAGAUUAUUGCCGAUCCUUAAUUUUCAACAGUUUGAUUAUGUCACAGGAUAGUCUUAUUUGGAUUGAAUUUGAUGGAGACUUUUGGCUUGCCUGCACCUAGAUAUUUGUAUCUCCUCCCAGGCUCAAGCGAUCCUCCCAUGUCAGCCUCCCAAGUACCUGAGACUACAGGCAAGUGCCACCAUGCCCAGCUAAUUUUUGUAUUUUUAGUAGAGAUGAGGUUUUGCCAUGUUGGCCAGGUUGGUCUCAAACUCCUGGGUGUUGCCCUGGAUAUUUUGGAAGUUAUAGAGCGCAAGUCUUGAAUCUGUUAUCAUUUUUAAAAUGUGUUAUAUUUUACUAUGCAAAUACAAGGCGAAUAUGCUGAAAGUAUAAGUUAAGCCCUUGUGAAAUUACAGAAGGAUGAUGACAUUACAAAGUUUUUAGAAAAGAUAUACACAACUACUAUUACACUAAUACGAAAGAAUAUACUGUUUAUAUUUUUUGCUGGUUAUACUCUAUCUUAAACUAUUUCUAAUUAAAAUUUCUCUUAUUUCCUCAUAUCCUCCAAUAUUCCAACAUUUGGUUUUAUAAUAUUAUCUGUUGAUUAACAAGCCUUUUGAAAUCACUGAAAAAUAUUUUAAGAUUAUAGUAUUUCAUUGCAUGAGUGGUUUUCAAUGAUACUGUGAUCGUGACCUGAAUUUUCUUAUCAAGUAUAACAAAUCUUCUCUGAUGUCUGGUUAAUU
rnacentral:lncRNA from 1 species